GUUUGACUUAUAUGUUUGAAAAACUUGUGGCCUUCGUGAUUGCGUGCCGAUGUGUUUUCAGGAUAUGUUUUCAAAGAGAAGUAGCAUUCAACUUGGAGAUUUGCAGGGGUGAUCAGCAGCAAUUUGAUUAAGGGAUCAUGGAAACAUUGUUAAAGUCAGCGAAAUUGUGUAUUAUCACUACUUGCUUGCUUCAAAUUCACCUCACCUAUGCAAUUACAGUUACACCGCUGGAUCCAAUAAUAGCUGUGGGAUCUGAUGUAAACAUCACCUGUACACUAGAUUCCUCUGAGACUGCAUCAUAUACAGCUGUGGACAUCAUAUGGGAGAAAGACUUGGUUGUUUUAGACUCAUCGCUUGUAAAUGUUCUCUCAGAUUCGGAGGCCAUGAUAAGUUUACAGAACCUGACGAGGGCUGAACAUGCUGCUGCUUACUACUGUCAUCUACCUAAUGUUCUAAAUUUCUGGGAAUAUGAUGGGACAGAAUUGCAUGUUGGUUGUAAGUUCUCUUUAAGAAUGAUUUGGUUCUUUUUUGAUGAUCUAAUUAAUAUUUAUUAAAAAUAAUUAUCAAUGACAUACGCAACAUUUUGUUGACGCUCAGAAUGCUCAAGUGAACUGUAGGUGUUGUUACAGCUUGGUCAUGAUGU
rnacentral:misc_RNA from 1 species